GGAUGUGAGGGCGAUCAGGCUGCAACUUCUGUCACCCCAUUGAUCACCAGGGUUGAUAUGGCUGAUCUGGCUGGCUAGAUGGGUGUCCCCUUCCUCCUUCACCGCUCCAUGAGCAUCCCUCCCAAAGCUGCAUGCUUGGAAGAAGACGACGACCAUCCCCAAUAGAGAAGGACUGUUCUUCUUGCUCUAGGGUAUACAAGUAGCUGCAUUCCCCUGCUAGAACCUCCAAAUAAGCUCUCAAAAGAACUGAAGGGAGUAAUAGACAACAAUACAAUAAUAGUAAGGGAUUUCAACUCCUCAUU
ensembl:misc_RNA 7SK 7SK RNA